rnacentral:rRNA from 1 species
GACGAACGCUGGCGGCGCGCCUAACACAUGCAAGUCGAACGAGAGAUGAGGAGCUUGCUCUUCAAAUCGAGUGGCGAACGGGUGAGUAACGCGUGAGGAACCUGCCUCAAAGAGGGGGACAACAGUUGGAAACGACUGCUAAUACCGCAUAAGCCCACGGGUCGGCAUCGACCAGAGGGAAAAGGAGCAAUCCGCUUUGAGAUGGCCUCGCGUCCGAUUAGCUAGUUGGUGAGGUAAUGGCCCACCAAGGCGACGAUCGGUAGCCGGACUGAGAGGUUGAACGGCCACAUUGGGACUGAGACACGGCCCAGACUCCUACGGGAGGCAGCAGUGGGGAAUAUUGCACAAUGGGGGAAACCCUGAUGCAGCGACGCCGCGUGGAGGAAGAAGGUCUUCGGAUUGUAAACUCCUGUUGUUGAGGAAGAUAAUGACGGUACUCAACAAGGAAGUGACGGCUAACUACGUG